rnacentral:rRNA from 1 species
UACGUAGGGUGCAAGCGUUAAUCGGAAUUACUGGGCGUAAAGCGUGCGCAGGCGGUUAUGUAGGACAGAUGUGAAAUGCCCGGGCUUAACCUGGGAACUGCAUUUGUGACUGCAUGGCUAGAGUUUGGCAGAGGGGGGUAGAAUUCCACGUGUAGCAGUGAAAUGCGUAGAUAUGUGGAGGAACACCGAUGGCGAAGGCAGCCCCCUGGGUCAAGACUGACGCUCAUGCACGAAAGCGUGGGGAGCAAACAGG